GACUGCCACCUGGAGACUGUUUUUUUCCUUGAAGUCCCUGGAGAAGGGAAAGUGGAAAUUCCCUAGUGUAGCGGUGUAAAUGCCGUAGAUAUUUAGGAGGGAACCACCCAGUGUCGAACGGCGGCCUUCCUGGACAGAAACUGACGUUGAGACGCGAAAGCGUGGGGAGCAAACAGGAUUAGAUACACUGGUAGUCCACGCCGUAAACGAUCGCAUACUAGGAUGUAGGAGGUAUCGACUCCUUCUGUGCCCGAGUUAACACAAUAAGUAUCCCACCUGGGGAGUACGGCCGCAAGGUUGAAACUCAAAGGAAUUGACGGGGGCCCGCACAAGCAGUGGAGUAUGUGGUUUAAUUCGAAGCAACGCGAAGAACCUUACCAGGACUUGACAUCCCUCACUAUUCAAGGAAACUUGAAGUUCCUACGGGACGGGGAGACAGGUGGUGCAUGGUUGUCGUCAGCUCGUGUCGUGAGAUGUUGGGGUGAGUCCCGCAACGAGCGCACCCCCUAUUGUUAGUUGCCAUCAGGUAAAGCUGGGCACUCUAACGAGACUGCCGGUGAUAAAUCGGAGGAAGGUGGGGAUGACGUCAAAUCAUCAUGCCCCUUAUGUUCUGGGCUACACACGUACUACAAUGGCUGUUACAGAGGGGAGCAAAGCCGUAAGGCAGAGCAAAUCCCGAAAAACAGUCUCAGUUCGGAUUGUGGGCUGAAACCCGC
rnacentral:rRNA from 1 species